rnacentral:lncRNA from 1 species
UCGUUGUUGUACAUCUCCUCCUCCGACCCCUGCCCCCCCCGGCAGUACAGGACCCCCACCUUGCGCUGGAAGCUCAGCUGCGGGCACGGCGACGGCUGGCACGGGGAGCCCCUCGUGCGAGCACGGCCCUUGUGCAAACAUCGCUCUUGUGCAAGCCCCGAAGUCGUGCAAACACUGCCCUUGUGCAAGCUCUGCCCUCGUGCAAGCCCCAGCCUGGUGCAAGCGCUGCCCUUGUGCAAGCACUGUCCUUGUGCAAACCUCAGUCUUGUGCAAGCCCUGAACUUGUGCAAGCGCUGUCCUCGUGCAAGCUCUGCCCUUGUGCAAGCCCAGCCCUCGUGCAAGCCUCGAUCUUGUGCAAGCUCUGUCCUCGUGCAAGCUCUGUCCUCAUGCAAACCCCAGCCUGGUGCAAGCCAAGUCCUCGUGCAAACAUCGCUCUUGUGCAAGCCCCGAAGUCGUGCAAACACUGCCCUUGUGCAAGCUCUGCCCUCGUGCAAGCCCCAGCCUGGUGCAAGCGCUGCCCUUGUGCAAGC